GACAGAGGGUGCAAACGUUGUUCGGAAUUACUGGGCGUAAAGCGCGUGUAGGCGGCUAUGUAAGUCGGGCGUGAAAUCCCACGGCUCAACCGUGGAAGUGCACCCGAAACUGCGUAGCUAGAGUCCUGGAGAGGAAGGUGGAAUGCUUGGUGUAGAGGUGAAAUUCGUAGAUAUCAAGCGGAACACCGGUGGCGAAGGCGGCCUUCUGGACAGUGACUGACGCUGAGACGCGAAAGCGUGGGGAGCGAACGGG
rnacentral:rRNA from 1 species